AAGUCGUAACAUUAACACGUAUCCAACGUUAAACCCCCCCCUCAAUUUCGGUCUUUUGGCAAUCCCUGGUAAAUCAUCGCCGAACAGUUUUGAUUCAGGGACAUCCAAAGGGACGGGGUAGGGUAUUAAAGUAGUAGUCAAUGCUGAGCCGGAGAACGAAGGUGCCUUCUGUCGCGCACUGUGGAAAGGAAGACGCUUUACGAAUCACUGUCCAACACGGUCAGUGACCGGGUUCCUGGUCCUAGACCCCAUAUUCACGUCGCAGACGAGGUAGGGAUACGUCCCUACCACCAAAUAAAUACUUGAACAACUGUUAACAAUGGAUAUCUUGGUUCUC
rnacentral:misc_RNA from 1 species